rnacentral:lncRNA from 1 species
GCAAGAAAGAAUAACUGAAAUGCUUAAUCAUGCUGAUGCUUUUAUUUUCCUUCCAGGAGAUCUUGCAACACUAGAGGCACUUAUCACACUAGCAUCUUGGGCCCAUCUGCACAUCCACCAGAAACCCAUCGGUUUGUUAAAUGUCAAUAACUUUUAUGAUGGCUUUAUCGCAUUUCUUAACCAUGCAAUAAAAAACUAUUUCAUUCCUUCUAAUGUGAAAAAACUCUUUAUUUGUGCUCACACUGCUAAUGAGCUACUUGAUAUGUUACAAGCUUAUAAACCGGAGCCAGACCCCUGGACCUUUGUGUUGGAGCGACCAAAUAAUGAUGGUAACAGUAGCCGCAGUAAGAAGUACAAAUUAGAUUUAACUCUCCGCCUGUAAAUAUUUUCUUCUGUGUUGCACCACCCAGGUGAUGUCUUCUAAACUCUACUUCUUUCCUUUAAAACAUUGAGGACAAUGUUUCUGCUGUACGGCCAAGGCGGAUGUACGGUACAGCAGGGAGAAGACACCGAAAUAAAUUUGAGUGACCCACUAGAUUUGAAUUGAUUUUUUUUUUCUUUUCGUUGAUUUGAUUUUUCUUUCUUUCUUUUUAUUAUUCUUUUGCUAAUUGAAAUUAUUUUUGCAUAAAUGUGUUUGUUUAACCAUUAAGUGUUCUCUUAUCAUUAUUAAUCAUGAGCACCAUGCUUAAACCGUUCCUCCUGAACAUUCUUAAACCAUUUCAACGUGUCAAAACUCAUCUCAAAAGGCAGAUUCAAUUUUGGAAAACACAACGCAUUUGGGCUCUACAACCACCAGAGUUAGUAGCCUAUGUUGAGGGUUUAGAAAGCCAACUCAGAGACAUUGAGAGAAGUGUUUACGACAUCCAGUUGGAGCUUGAGGUAAAUUCAAUAAGAGGACGAUUUUAAUUUUCUUUAUGUGUUUUAAUUUUUUUUUCUGUUUGUGUGCUUUAGUUUGUUACCCCGGUGAAAUGGCGGAUAACGGUACUCCGUGACAAUCAAGUCAGUUACUUCAGUUUCCCAUAAUAACUGAUAUUCUGAGGCGAAAGUAUGGACAGAAACGAGACUCUAACGAAGCUUCACAAGCGAUUCCCUUCACUUCCUCAAAAUGUCCUCCUUACGGUCUAUAAAGCUCAGUCUGAACGCCUGCUGUACGGCCAAGGCGGAUGUACGGUACAGCAGCAUAGCAGCGAGAAAAUUACACUUGGUGUAUGGAGGAGGUAAUCGAGGGUUAUCAAAAAUGGUCUCAGAAGCAGCUUUUAUCAGAGGAAGUCAAGUGUUAGGCAUCAUCCCAAGAGUUCUAAAACCAUUGGGCAGUUCGUCUGACUCAUCCACUGGAGAAGAGUUAGUCGUCUCAGGUAUGCAAGAAUGAAUAACUGAAAUGCUUAAUCAUGCUGAUGCUUUUGUUUUCCUUCCAGGAGAUCUUGCAACACUAGAGGCACUUAUGACACUAGCAUCUUGGGCCCAUCUACACAUUCACCAGAAACCCAUCGGUUUGUUAAAUGUCAAUAACUUUUAUGAUGGCUUUAUCGCAUUUCUUAACCAUGCAAUAAAAAACUAUUUCGUUCCUUCCAAUGCGAAAAAGUUUUUUAUUUGUGCUCACACUGCUAAUGAGCUACUUGAUAUGUUACAAGCUUAUCGACCGGAGCCAGACCCCUGGACCUUUGUGUUGGAGCGACCAAAUAAUGAUGGUAACAGUAGCCGCAGUAAGAAGUACAAAUUAGAUUUAACUCUCCGC